rnacentral:rRNA from 1 species
CUACGGAGGGUGCAAGCGUUAUCCGGAAUCAUUGGGUUUAAAGGGUCCGUAGGCGGGCUAAUAAGUCAGGGGUGAAAUCCCACAGCUUAACUGUGGAACUGCCCUUGAUACUGUUGGUCUUGAGUUACAGUGAAGUGGUUAGAAUGUGUAGUGUAGCGGUGAAAUGCAUAGAGAUUACACAGAAUACCGAUUGCGAAGGCAGAUCACUAACUGUAUACUGACGCUAAGGGACGAAAGCGUGGGGAGCGAACAGGAUUAGAAACCCCAGUAGUCC